AUUUCCGCGGGCGGUGUGAACGGUGUGGCAGCAGCCCCGAGCUGAGCUGAGCUGUGGUUCUCAAAGUGUGGUCCGGAUCCAACAGGAGACUUUAGGGGCGGUUCCAGGUCAUUCCAGGCAAGACCAGGAAUAUUUACAAUGGUUUCAUGAACGUUCCCGCCCCAGCCAAAGUAGACAAUAUAGCCUACACAGUUACAUAAUGCUGUCAAGACAUACCAUAACAGAAAGGAUUGUUUUCCCAAUGAAACAUAAGGAGACAGUUCCAUGAAAUAACUCGUCUGUUAACUUGUUGAUCCAUGACAAGUUUGCGCAGCCCGAGGGAAAGCUUAAAAGGUCUGCAGCCCCACCUCCCCUCAAACAAUACGGAGGACAUGACCUCACCGUCCAAGCAGCUACAGCCACUCCGUUGGAGGUGCUCACAACAACUAAAAACAUGGCAUUUGAAAAACAGCUCAGAGCACGUGUCCAUCCAGAAACCAUCCCACGUUUACUCAGGAUAAUCUACAGCCAUCACUGUGGAAAGCUUUUAUCAUAUAUUGCCUUUGAAAGGAUAAAUGGUAUUCACAGUGGAAACUUUUGGCAGGUUUGUCUGUCAGUUAUCCAGACAAAGACACACUGCUGUUGAGUUUUUUUUUUUUUUAAAUGUCAUGUCUUGAUCCUUUGAGCAUCACCAACAAGUUUCCAUUCACAUCCACUGUAUUGUCGUGGCAGCAGAAGCUUUAGCAGCUUUUAUAGUUAAACAAAAAAGGAAACCAAAACUUAAAACUGCAUCACAAUUCAUUUUGUCUCGGGUGUGCUAACUUUUUAUUAUGAUUAUAUAAACUAAUAGCAUUAUCACUGUGGUCUUGUCUCUAUGUUGCAUUGUUUGUGCUAUUAUGAUGAUGCAGUGCGAUUUAAAUUAUGUUGUACCGGUCUCUUCCUGCAUCUUUAACAUUCAGGUUUCAUUUUAAAUUGUGUAAUUUAUCUAAAAGCCCACCAAUAACUGUAAAUGAGCUGUCACUUUAAGCUCUACGUGCAACACAUUUGCUGUAUUUUAAGUGACUGAAUGUAAUUGCGCUUUCCCUGUCAAUUAAACCACAAAAUAAAACAUAAAUAAAC